AGAGUUUGAUCAUGGCUCAGGACGAACGCUGGCGGCGUGCCUAAUACAUGCAAGUUGAGCGCUGAAGGUUGGUACUUGUACCGACUGGAUGAGCAGCGAACGGGUGAGUAACGCGUGGGGAAUCUGCCUUUGAGCGGGGGACAACAUUUGGAAACGAAUGCUAAUACCGCAUAAAAACUUUAAACACAAGUUUUAAGUUUGAAAGAUGCAAUUGCAUCACUCAAAGAUGAUCCCGCGUUGUAUUAGCUAGUUGGUGAGGUAAAGGCUCACCAAGGCGAUGAUACAUAGCCGACCUGAGAGGGUGAUCGGCCACAUUGGGACUGAGACACGGCCCAAACUCCUACGGGAGGCAGCAGUAGGGAAUCUUCGGCAAUGGACGAAAGUCUGACCGAGCAACGCCGCGUGAGUGAAGAAGGUUUUCGGAUCGUAAAACUCUGUUGGUAGAGAAGAACGUUGGUGAGAGUGGAAAGCUCAUCAAGUGACGGUAACUACCCAGAAAGGGACGGCUAACUACGUGCCAGCAGCCGCGGUAAUAC
rnacentral:rRNA from 1 species